ACGUACACUCCUACGGGAGGCAGCAGUGGGGAAUUUUGGACAAUGGGCGAAAGCCUGAUCCAGCCAUGCCGCGUGCAGGAUGAAGGCCUUCGGGUUGUAAACUGCUUUUGUACGGAACCAAACGGCCUUUUCUAAUAAAGAGGGCUAAUGACGGUACCGUAAGAAUAAGCACCGGCUAACUACGUGCCAGCAGCCGCGGUAAUACGUAGGGUGCAAGCGUUAAUCGGAAUUACUGGGCGUAAAGCGUGCGCAGGCGGUUAUGUAAGACAGUUGUGAAAUCCCCGGGCUCAACCUGGGAACUGCAUCUGUGACUGCAUAGCUAGAGUACGGUAGAGGGGGAUGGAAUUCCGCGUGUAGCAGUGAAAUGCGUAGAUAUGCGGAGGAACACCGAUGGCGAAGGCAAUCCCCUGGACCUGUACUGACGCUCAUGCACGAAAGCGUGGGGAGCAAACAGGAUUAGAAACCCCAGUAGUCCCAUGA
rnacentral:rRNA from 1 species